GCCAAAAAAGCGACCAAACUCCAAUCACACCAGCUAAACUUCACCGGGAAUUAUUUGCAGAGAUGCUAAUGAUCGACCCCUCCACCAAGAUGAUCACGAACGACGGUAAAGUAUACACCCACCCGAAAGAACUACCCACUGGAAAAGAAUAUGCAACUGCAUUCACAGAGGCUACAGUUAAUAAUAAGAAAUUCAAUACGGUAAAGGCAUAUGUAUGCUGCAAGAUUGAGACGGCUCUACGUUAUAAACAGUUCAUGUAUAAUAAUAAUGGUGCGAAGACUAUCCUUCCAAUGCUUCGCCACAAUAAUAUGUGGUUAAAAUGGAACAAAUUCUCCACACAUAGAGAAGCCUCUAUUGGUUUCAUCAAAUAUGUCAACACAUCCAUCACUCUACAAGCA
rnacentral:rRNA from 1 species